GUCUUAACUAUGCCCCGCCUAUUUGAGUGUCUUGCCGCUUGGACAUUGCCCGUGUCGGCAACAACUGGGCAAAAUAAUUCAACUUUUCCACCAACAAAGUUAUAUGGUUUAAAAUACGUGUAACGAACCUCAGGUUUUCCACGAUGGCUCGGUUUGUAAUAAAGUAUAUUGGGCAAGAUACCCCAGGGUCCUACGUGAUAUUAGACAGGUGGUUUUAAUGUUGUGGCUGAUCAGUGUAUGUAAUAGAUAUGGGUGGAAAACUGGAAUUUAAGGUGAAACAAUUACAUAGUAAAAAUACUAAAACAGCCUCUUUCUCAAAAGUAUGGAAUGUUGAAAAAAACUGUGAUUAAAGGGUUAAGCAGUGUGUACAUAUAUCAUGCUUCAGCAGGGGGUUGGGUUUAGCCAUGUAUAUUCAUGAACGAGAAACUCUUCAAGUCUUUAUCACUUUGACAAAGACCUCUCUGUUUUACAUUGCCAUAUGAUUGUGGAGUCACACGACCAGAUUAGUGGGUCCAGGCAGAUUAUUUCUUAAUUCGUUGGGCCUCAC